rnacentral:rRNA from 1 species
AUACGUAGGGUGCAAGCGUUAAUCGGAAUUACUGGGCGUAAAGCGUGCGCAGGCGGCUUCGCAAGUCAGACGUGAAAUCCCCGGGCUUAACCUGGGAAUGGCGUUUGAAACUACGGAGCUGGAGUGUGGCAGAGGGAGGUAGAAUUCCACGUGUAGCGGUGAAAUGCGUAGAUAUGUGGAGGAAUACCGAUGGCGAAGGCAGCCUCCUGGGCCAACACUGACGCUCAUGCACGAAAGCGUGGGGAGCAAACA